CGACUGAGGAGAAGGCACCGGGGGUCAAGCCGCACCCUCUGUUCUCGCGCCGGGGCCUUGCCUCAGGACGCGGCCAGUCUUUUUCCAUGAUCACCUUAAAAGAUUUCCCGCCUGAGAUUUCCCGCCAGUUUCAAGAUCCACAUUCUCCUCAGGCCAUCUUCCUAAACUCAAAAAUCCAAGUAUUAUUUAUAAGGCACCAUGAGAAAUCUUUUUUAUUUUUUUAGAUUGUAUUUAUUUAUUCCUGAGAGGCACUGGAAGAGAGGCAGGCUUCGGGACUGGAGCCCGGUGUGGGACUCGAUCCCAGGACCCUGGAUCAUGACCUGACCCAGAGGCAGCCGCCCGACGACUGAACCACCCGGGUGCCCCAGGAACUACCUCUGUCUUUAAGGAAGGAAGCGUGAAAGGAGUUGAAAGCAGACCCCUCGGCCUGCCCCACACAGCAGAGACGGGCCCAGUCCUGCAGCCCCGCCAGCCUGCCCGGGGGAAAGUGGGUGAGGAGGCCUCCAGGGACCGGAGCGUAGUUGGUUCCCAGGGCCUUGACCCAUCUCCAAGGUUGGUGCGCAUCGGCUCGGGUGUGUGCGUCUGCCCAAAGCUGGAGGCCACGCCGGCCAUCACUGAGCUGGGAGGCGGAUGCUCGCCCCUCGCGGGACCUCCCCUUCCAUGAGGAUGUGGACCGCUGCUUCCCGGGGCCCUUGUGAGGCCCAGGUGCCUUGGCAGGUAGCAGGAGCCCCCGGGGAGGUGGGGGUGCUGUGCACCCAGCCUCGUGGGGGCAGGGCCCUCCCCCCCUCCGCCCGGAUGCCGGCUGUGCUGGGUGUGCCCGAGCAAAAAUCCUGCUCUCCUGAGGCACCAAAUGCUACAUUCGAAAAAGUCCCUGAACCUAGAAGUUUUGCAUCUGGCUGUGAACCUGUGGCAUCAUGAUCUCUGGAACUAGCUGGGCAGACCAAACCGCUCUGGGAUAUACCCACAGUUGGACAAAACCAAAUUCAACAACCACUUGUCUCUAAGCAUUUAUAUUGAAAAUAGAAAACAAUGGAGUUAAAAAUCAGGCAAUGUGUUGUAUAUGGACUACUUCUCCCACAGUGGAACAAGUUAUUUGUCUGUGAGAGCAUUUAUUUGUAGGAUGCACAGGAAUGAUGUCACUAGAAAUUGGAGGACAUAAGAAAAGUCUUUUAAAAUUUCCCUUCUGAUAGUUUUAUGAAAA
rnacentral:lncRNA from 1 species